UAUGGCCAUAUCAUGUUGAAACAUUGGUUCCCAUAUGAUCACCAAAGAUAAGCAAUGUUAAGUCUGGUCAGUACCUAGAUGGGUGUUUGCUUGAGAAUACCAUGUGAUGUA